rnacentral:rRNA from 1 species
UACGUUCCCGGGCCUUGUACACACCGCCCGUCACACCACGAAAGUCGGCAAUACCCGAAGCCGGUGGCCUAACCCGUAAGGGAGGGAGCCGUCUAAGGUAGGGUCAAUGAUUGGGGUG